rnacentral:rRNA from 1 species
GCAACUCGCCUGCAUGAAGUUGGAAUUGCUAGUAAUCGCGAAUCAGAAUGUCGCGGUGAAUACGUUCCCGGGCCUUGUACACACCGCCCGUCACACCAUGAGAGUCGAUAACACCCGAAGCCUGUGAGCUAACCGUAAGGAGGCAGCAGUCGAAGGUGGGGUUGAUGAUUGGGGUGAAGUCGUAACAAGGUACC